GUCAGGAGGCCCGACCAGAAACCACUGCCCAGCAAAUCUUGGUGCUAGAUCAAGGUCUAUGCACUGAACUGGCGGCUAGAUGUGUGUGGGACUGCUCCCUGGACAACCUGUCAAAAUCUGCAUGGCCUUGCCAAACUGUGGAUUUAUCCUUCCAGAAAUGUAGAGGGCAUCUGGAACUCGCAUGACUUUCCAGAGGAAACGCAGUGCAGCACCAUGAUCUCUUUCAUCUUCUAUCAUCUUGCACAUCAAAACUCCCCCUCCACUCAUCAAGGGACUCUUGUAUAGCUUAUUCUUAUUGGCAAGAAAAUGGGGCCAACAUCAAGGCGGGCUGAGGCCAGCGCUCCAGAACCUUGGACAGCUCCACUCCUUGGGGACUGCUGAGCGCCCUGAAGAAACACGAAGGACUUGGGGGAUUUUCCCAGAAGGGCUGCAUUAGUGUGGGGAUUUAGGGAUCCCAAGGGCCUCAGUCUCACUCCAAGGAAGUGUACCAGUGACUGCAUGUUCAGAUUCUUCAACACAACCAGCCCUCCUGGAAAAUUCUGAGGAGCCUCUCCUCCUCAGAAACCCUAUCCAUAAGAGUUACCAAAUCAUCAGGGCCUUUCCUUCUCUCCUAAGAACUCCAAGGAUUUUUUUUUUCUUUUUUGAGCCCAAGAAGAACAGAAAUACCACCCACAUCUUCCUGUAUCCGCUGAUAUUUACUUUGUUUGGCUUCAGUACAAGGAUUAAACCUUCUUGAUUAACCUUGAGUGAAAGUAAUAAUGUAUGAGCAUAAAGAAAGGCUUUAUAAGACAGAGACUCAUGUAUGAAUAAAAAAAAAUUAAUGUCAUUGCCUGUAUGUGAUGUUAAGUGACAAUCUCUAAUCAGGAUAUGCAGGUAGUUCAAUUUAUGCGAUAAUUAAUCUUUUUACUCUCCAGUGCAGAACACAACACACAUAUGCAGUCACCUUCUGAACAGGCAAGGAAGAGAUUAAGUCCUAUUUUUACUUUAUGAUACUGAGUCAUGUAGUUCAAUGCAAAUCACAUGGAUGCCAAAGUAAGAACAAUAACAGGUAUUUAAAUAUCUCUUUUACUUUAAG
ensembl:lncRNA